rnacentral:tRNA from 1 species
GCCCUAGUAGUAUAAAUAUUACCUUGGUCUUGUAAACCAAAAAUGAAAAACCUAUUUUCCUAGAGCAUCAAGGAAUAGAGCA